rnacentral:rRNA from 1 species
GACGAACGCUGGCGGCGUGCCUAAUACAUGCAAGUAGAACGCUGAAGGAGGAGCUUGCUCUUCUGGAUGAGUUGCGAACGGGUGAGUAACGCGUAGGUAACCUGCCUGGUAGCGGGGGAUAACUAUUGGAAACGAUAGCUAAUACCGCAUAAGAGUAGAUGUUGCAUGACAUUUACUUAAAAGGUGCAAUUGCAUCACUACCAGAUGGACCUGCGUUGUAUUAGCUAGUUGGUGGGGUAACGGCUUACCAAGGCGACGAUACAUAGCCGACCUGAGAGGGGGAUCGGCCACACUGGGACUGAGACCCGGCCCGGACUCCUACGGGAGGCAGCAGUAGGGAAUCUUCGGCAAUGGACGGAAGUCUGACCGAGCAACGCCGCGUGAGUGAAGAAGGUUUUCGGAUCGUAAAGCUCUGUUGUAAGAGAAGAACGAGUGUGAGAGUGGAAAGUUCACACUGUGACGGUAUCUUACCAGAAAGGGACGGCUAACUACGUG